GUUAUGGCCCGGCAAAAGCGGAAAUCAAAUUAAGCGAAAAUAUGUUCUUCCAAUGAGUUUUUUGUCCUCUCAGCUACUGCAUUAAAUUAAUCAAUUUAACCAGUGGACAAGAGGAAUGGAUUGAAGGGCAGAGACAGCCUCGCGUCCGAUCGGGCCACACCAUUAGCAUGAUUUAGUGCGGCGACCCGACCCCGCGGCUUCAUUAGCAUAAAACAGUUCUUAUGGCCAUUCUAGGAAACCGCCCCAGCCCCCCCCCUGCCCAGCAGAAAACAACAAAACAUUUCUCCCAAAUACACUUGGGAUACUGGAGAUCAGAGUUGGCCUGGCCUGGUGAGAGCGCGGCAGCGGUUACUGUAUAAUUUUUAUGAUAUUGCCCGAUUGUCUGUUCGGGGGUCUGGCUUUAUUUGUUUUUACUGUCAAACCUCUGGCUGGGCAAGAAACAUUUAAUACUCAAUUAAUUCAUCAGUGGGACUUGGAACGAACCGUCAGUCAGGCAGUCAGUCAGUCACUCAAUCUUCUCAGUCAUCAAAAUUCGUUUGCUUUUUAUGAUUUCGGGCGAAAUUUGUAUGUGUGUGUGUGUGUGUGUGUUUUUUUCGAUUCCUCAUUCCUUAGUGUGUUUCUUUUUUCCCUGAUUUCGAAUUCCAUCUUUAUUGGUUCAGCACCAUUAAAAUCCAUCACCCAAAUGGAAUAGAUCGCCCCGUUCUUGAUACUGUUGGACCCUGUUGCCCGGGUGUUGGGCGCACCAUUGGAAUAUGACACAUGGCAAACACCUCCUCUUUAAUUUCAGAGAUUGUUGGACCUUCGGCAGCAUAUGUUCAGAGCGGUCUGGAGGCUCACCGCGAAGUUUGUGAAAACGGAUCGCUUUACACACGGCUGGGGGCUGUCCUGCAUAAGGCCUGGAACUGGAAAACCCUGGAAAUGCAUAAAACAAGCAACAAAUUUUCGGAGCUGCAUUCACAGUUGGUUGGGAGUCGAUUGACCUCAAGGACCCCGUCAAAGGAGAUCGGGAAGGUGAUCAAAUAGUUCUUGGUGUGUCAUAGCUCAUACUUUUUGCCUUAAUGGUGGCCGUCAUCGAGAAGAUUCGCUGAAUUGUCACUUGGAUAAAGAAUUUCCACAUCCCCCACCUCACUGAAAAGAGAUGCAUCUUUGCAAAAUUGCCGUUCUGCCACCAGUCUAAGCUAAACAAAUGCUAAAAUAUGCCCAACAUAUUUUGAAAAUAUAGAACUAACCAAAAAAAUAAAA